rnacentral:rRNA from 1 species
CCUACGGGAGGCAACAGUGCGGAAUAUUGGUCAAUGGGCGGGAGCCUGAACCAGCCAAGCCGCGUGAGGGAAGAAGGUACAGCGUAUCGUAAACCGCUUUUGUCAGGGAACAAAGGCGGUGACUAGUCCCCGGAUGCGGGUACCUGAUGAAUAGCAUCGGCUAACUCCGUGCCAGCCGCCCCGGUAAUUCGGAGGGUGCGGGCGUGUUCCGGAUUUUUUGGGUUUAAAGGGUGCGCAGGCGGCCUGUUAAGUCAGCGGUGAAAUCCCGAGGGUCAACUGCGGAAUUGCCGCUGAGACUGUGCGGCUUGAGAGUAGUGGCGGUAGGCGGAAGGUAUGGUGUAGCGGUGAAAUGCUUAGAGAUCAUACAGAACACCGAUUGCGAAGGCAGCUUACCAAGCUACUUCUGACGUUGAGGCACGAAGGCGUGGGGAGCAAACAGGAUUAGAUACCCUGGUAGUC